GGAUGCGAUCAUACUAGCACUAACGCACCGGAUCCCAUCAGAACUCCGAAGUUAAGCGUGCUUGGGCGAGAGUAGUACUAGGAUGGGUGACCCCCUGGGACAUCCCUCUUUUUGAAAAAC
rnacentral:rRNA from 1 species